UGGGGAAUUUUGGACAAUGGGCGAAAGCCUGAUCCAGCAAUGCCGCGUGUGUGAAGAAGGCCUUCGGGUUGUAAAGCACUUUUGUCCGGAAAGAAAUGGCUCUGGUUAAUACCUGGGGUCGAUGACGGUACCGGAAGAAUAAGGACCGGCUAACUACGUGCCAGCAGCCGCGGUAAUACGUAGGGUCCAAGCGUUAAUCGGAAUUACUGGGCGUAAAGCGUGCGCAGGCGGUUGUGCAAGACCGAUGUGAAAUCCCCGAGCUUAACUUGGGAAUUGCAUUGGUGACUGCACGGCUAGAGUGUGUCAGAGGGGGGUAGAAUUCCACGUGUAGCAGUGAAAUGCGUAGAGAUGUGGAGGAAUACCGAUGGCGAAGGCAGCCCCCUGGGAUAACACUGACGCUCAUGCACGAAAGCGUGGGGAGCAAACAGGAUUAGAUACCCUGGUAGUCCACGCCCUAAACGAUGUCAACUAGUUGUUGGGGAUUCAUUUCCUUAGUAACGUAGCUAACGCGUGAAGUUGGACCGCCUGGGGAGUACGGUCGCAAGAUUAAAAGCUCAAA
rnacentral:rRNA from 1 species